UGCCCUGAAGUCAGUGUGUGAUCAGAUUAAGAAAACUUCAAUACACCAUACGGAGUCAGAAAAGGUGCAUACGCUGCAAGCCGUGGUACAGCAGCUGGAGGAAGAGGUCUGUGAAGCACGCAAAAUGUAUUGCGAGAUAGCAGCAGAGCAGGCGAAAACACAGGAGAUGCGCAG